AACCCAUGUUGAGGACAUUUCCGCAGGAGCUCCUUGAACCUAUCUCAUGUCUCAAAAAGUGACUACAAUUCCAUUUUCUUAAAAGAGGAUAUUUCAUUCCUAAGCUU